rnacentral:rRNA from 1 species
CCUACGGGAGGCAGCAGUGAGGAAUAUUGGUCACUGGACGAGAGUCUGAACCAGCCAAGUAGCGUGAAGGAUGACUGCCCUAUGGGUUGUAAACUUCUUUUAUAUGGGAAUAAAAUGUUCCACGUGUGGGAUUUUGUAUGUACCAUAUGAAUAAGGAUCGGCUAACUCCGUGCCAGCAGCCGCGGUAAUACGGAGGAUCCGAGCGUUAUCCGGAUUUAUUGGGUUUAAAGGGAGCGUAGGUGGAUUGUUAAGUCAGUUGUGAAAGUUUGCGGCUCAACCGUAGAAUUGCAGUUGAGACUGGCAGUCUAGAGUACAGUAGAGGUGGGCGGAAUGCGUGGUGUAGCGGUGAAAUGCUUAGAUAUCACGAAGAACUCCGAUUGCGAAGGCAGCUCACUGGACUACAACUGACACUGAGGCUCGAAAGUGUGGGUAUCAAACAGGAUUAGAUACCCCUGUAGUC